rnacentral:misc_RNA from 1 species
GAUGAAGAACGUAGCGAAAUGCGAUAAGUAAUGUGAAUUGCAGAAUUCAGUGAAUCAUCGAAUCUUUGAACGCACAUUGCGCCCCUUGGUAUUCCGAGGGGCAUGCCUGUUCGAGCGUCAUUAUAACCCCUCAAGCUCAGCUUGGUGUUGGGGCCUGCUGCACUGGCAGCCCUUAAAAUCAGUGGCGGCGCCAUCUGGCUCUAAGCGUAGUAAUUCUUCUCGCUAUGGAGUCCUGGUGGAUGCUUGCCAUCAACCCCAAUUUUUCUAUGGUUGACCUCGGAUCAGGUAGGGAUACCCGCUGAACUUAAGCAUAUCAAUAAGCGAGGA